UUUUGUAUUUAAAUAUUUUCAAUAAAAAAAGGCACGGCCCGAUCUCGUCUGCUCUCGAAAGCUAAGCAGGGUCGGGCCUGGUUAGUACUUGGAUGAGAGACCGCCUGGGAAUACCAGGUGCUGCAAGAU
rnacentral:rRNA from 1 species